rnacentral:lncRNA from 1 species
GUGUAUAUAGUCUUGGUGGUCAACCAGAACCAUGGACAGCUCGGCAAAAGGAAGUAAAAAGGAUGCGCCUGAUGGACCACCAAAAGACUCGAAGAUGCCUGUCAGCGAGGCACUUCUGGACUACCAUCGUGAAAUAAAGGAGAAUGCAGUGGAGCGAUUCACAUUCCACAUCAGGAAGCUGAGGGACAAGAAUCAAAAAUACCUUGAAAGGAACAGACGCUUGAAAGAGGAACAGAACUGGCACUUAAAGAAUCUCAUAAAAGAACUGAAGGAUGAGAAGCUGGAUGUUGUACAACCCAUAACAAGAGAGGACGUGGAGGAGGCAAUGAAGGAAAAAUGGAAGUUUGAAAGAGACCAGGAGGCUCACUUGAAAGGUGAGCUAGGAACUUAGAAAGUUGUCACAAGUGUUAUACUCAUUUGUGAGUUAAUGCCUUUGCCUUUCAGUGUGUGAUUGUAUUUAAGAUUAUAUCAUCUCCUCCACAGCCACAG